GAUAUGGCUCAGGAUGAACGCUAGCGACAGGCUUAACACAUGCAAGUCGAGGGGCAGCGAGGGAGUGGCAACACUUCUGUCGGCGACCGGCGCACGGGUGAGUAACGCGUAUGCAACCUGCCCUUCACAGGGGGGAUAACCGGGAGAAAUUCCGACUAAUACCGCAUACGUCCUUUGGGGGCAUCCCCUGGGGAUGAAAGAGUUAUCGGUGAAGGAUGGGCAUGCGUGAUAUUAGGUAGUUGGCGGGG
rnacentral:rRNA from 1 species